rfam:Ornithorhynchus anatinus chromosome 3, whole genome shotgun sequence.
CUGCUCACUUCAGCAGCACAUAUACUAAAAUUGGAAUGAUACAGAGAAGAUCGGUGUGGCCCCUGCACAAAGAUGACAUGCAAAUGCCCGAAGCCUUCCACGUGUUU